GUAGGUGGCAAGCGUUGUCCGGAAUUAUUGGGCGUAAAGCGCGCGCAGGCGGUCCUUUAAGUCUGAUGUGAAAGCCCACGGCUCAACCGUGGAGGGUCAUUGGAAACUGGGGGACUUGAGUACAGAAGAGGAAAGCGGAAUUCCAAGUGUAGCGGUGAAAUGCGUAGAGAUUUGGAGGAACACCAGUGGCGAAGGCGGCUUUCUGGUCUGUAACUGACGCUGAGGCGCGAAAGCGUGGGGAGCAAACAGGGAUUAGAUACCCUGGUAGUUCACGCCGUAAACGAUGAGUGCUAAGUGUUAGGGGGGUUUCCGCCCCCUUAGUGCUGCAGCUAACGCAUUAAGCACUCCGCCUGGGGAUACGGCCGCAAGGCUG
rnacentral:rRNA from 1 species